CCAGAUAUUGUUACCUAUAUGAACAGGGGGAGCAUUCAUAUCCCGAAAUGAAGAGAUUCCCUUACAUGGGGUUCGCACAGGAACCUCACGAACAGAGACCGGCCAGGACACCUAUUUUCCUGGAACUUUUUAAGACUGGCGUCUGGUGUCUGGCCGGUCAACACUUUACCUCGAUGGCACUCCCGUUUCACCAAACCAAUCUGAGUGAUCUUUGGAUAUGAUCGGGGCUAUCAGGGGGAAGUACAUUUUUAUGUGGCACUUUUGGGGAACUAUAUAUUUCGUUGGAUUUUUUGUACCUGAGAGAAAAUUAGAUUAGUGUUUUAUUUUUCUCAUGCAAUUAUCUCUCAGGCACAGAGGAUCCUGGGAUUGAAACCCCUGUUUUAGUGCAUUGUAAACCCCAUUUAGGGGACUGGGCAUAAAAGCCCUGUGUGGUCUGAAUAAACUCAGUUGACUCCCAGAACUAUGUUUCAUCUUGUUACUGGCGGAAUUGAUAUCUACUUGUGUUAAUGGUUCCAGAGUGGCUGAAGGAAGGAAUUAGCGGAGGUAAUUAGUCGGGUUACCCGUGGUUCGAGUAGAGGCAUGCAGGUGGAUUUAACCUUUUUUAUUAAUAUG